rnacentral:rRNA from 1 species
UCGGGAAUUUUGGGCAAUGGAGGGAACUCUGACCCAGCCAUGCCGCGUGCAGGAUGAAGGCGUUAUGCGUUGUAAACUGCUUUUAUAUAGGAAGAAAUAGUCCUUGCGAGGAAAGUUGACGGUACUAUAUGAAUAAGCACCGGCUAACUCCGUGCCAGCAGCCGCGGUAAUACGGAGGGUGCAAGCGUUGUCCGGAUUUAUUGGGUUUAAAGGGUGCGUAGGCGGUUUAUUAAGUCAGUGGUGAAAGACGGUCGCUCAACGAUUGCAGUGCCAUUGAUACUGGUAGACUUGAGUAUGAUUGAGGUAGCUGGAAUGGAUAGUGUAGCGGUGAAAUGCAUAGAUAUUAUCCAGAACACCAAUUGCGUAGGCAAGUUACUAAGUCAUAACUGACGCUGAGGCACGAAAGUGUGGGUAUCAAACAGGAUUAGAUACCCCAGUAGUCCCUGAGCGGGCUGGCAAGGCGCAU